rnacentral:rRNA from 1 species
UACGUAGGGUGCGAGCGUUGUCCGGAAUUAUUGGGCGUAAAGGGCUCGUAGGCGGUUUGUCGCGUCGGGAGUGAAAACACCGGGCUUAACUCGGUGCUUGCUUUCGAUACGGGCAGACUAGAGGCAUGCAGGGGAGAACGGAAUUCCUGGUGUAGCGGUGAAAUGCGCAGAUAUCAGGAGGAACACUGGUGGCGAAGGCGGUUCUCUGGGCAUGUCCUGACGCUGAGGCGCGAAAGCGUGGGGAGCAAACAGG